ACCUGCAAGUCAUUUAACUUCGAUCUGGUGACACGAUCCUGCCAACUCAACAGCAACAACAGCUACCACACCAACGUCGUCUCUUUACAAGACUAUGUCUUCAGUGACAUUGACUUGUGGCCUUCUACUCUCUCUGGUCCAUGUGCACAGCUCCAGUGUCAGCCUGGAUACCGAUGUAAAGUAAACAGACUGGACCGUCCAGCUUGUCAUCCAGAAUUCCCAGGUUGUGGCUCUCCGCCUCCAUUGAUACCAAACAGCGAAGUGGUGUAUGAUGGCCACUACAUAGGAGCCGAGGCUAAGUACACCUGCGCAGACGACUUCCUGUCGUGUCACAAGAACACCACAAGCGUGUGCCAGUCAUCGACGGGCAGGUGGGAGGAGCUGACCGACCUCUGUGGACGUUUCAGAUUCCAAAACCAGGGAGUGGUACAUUUCCCCUGUGGCCAAACAAGUCACUUCACUGCGACUAUCAAAGGAAUGCUCACGGGUGAGAG